UACGUAGGGGGCAAGCGUUGUCCGGAAUUAUUGGGCGUAAAGAGCUCGUAGGCGGUCCAGUAAGUCGGAUGUGAAAUCUCAGGGCUCAACCCUGAAACUGCAUCCGAUACUGCUGGACUUGAGGCAGGUAGGGGAAGGUGGAAUUCCUGGUGUAGCGGUGAAAUGCGCAGAUAUCAGGAGGAACACCGGUGGCGAAGGCGGCCUUCUGGGCCUGUUCUGACGCUGAGGAGCGAAAGCGUGGGGAGCAAACAGG
rnacentral:misc_RNA from 1 species